rnacentral:rRNA from 1 species
GAUGAACGCUGGCGGCGUGCCUAAUACAUGCAAGUCGAGCGAACAGACGAGGAGCUUGCUCCUCUGACGUUAGCGGCGGACGGGUGAGUAACACGUGGAUAACCUACCUAUAAGACUGGGAUAACUUCGGGAAACCGGAGCUAAUACCGGAUAAUAUAUUGAACCGCAUGGUUCAAUAGUGAAAGACGGUUUUGCUGUCACUUAUAGAUGGAUCCGCGCCGCAUUAGCUAGUUGGUAAGGUAACGGCUUACCAAGGCAACGAUGCGUAGCCGACCUGAGAGGGUGAUCGGCCACACUGGAACUGAGACACGGUCCAGACUCCUACGGGAGGCAGCAGUAGGGAAUCUUCCGCAAUGGGCGAAAGCCUGACGGAGCAACGCCGCGUGAGUGAUGAAGGUCUUCGGAUCGUAAAACUCUGUUAUUAGGGAAGAACAAAUGUGUAAGUAACUAUGCACGUCUUGGCGGUACCUAAUCAGAAAGCCACGGCUAACUACGUGC